GCCUCCAUAGCUCAAUGGUUAGAGCGUGCGGCUUUUAACCGCAAGGCUCCGGGUUCGACCCCCGGUGGUGGCU
rfam:Emmonsia parva TAMH 139 supercont1.936, whole genome shotgun sequence.